AUCUUACCGGCGGAUCCACAGGUCUGGAGCUCCCCGCUGGACCGCAGCCGUGGAGGGAAACGGUCCGCUUCCUCCGGAGACAACCGGCGACUUCAGGUGGACGAUCUGAAACAGGCUCAGGAGGACCAUUGGUGCAAACUAUCUGGAGCAGAUCCAUCCUGAGACCGUGGAGACGUCGUGUCAUGCUGCAGCCGUCCAGGUAUCGAUCACCGAUUGGUUUAUUAUCCCACCGACCUGCUCUGCUUUAAUUGGUGCCUUCCACUCCUGUUCUCCAUUCAUCACAUCCCAUUCAGAGAUCUAAACUCACAUCAAAUCAUCUAUGGAAGCAGAUUUAAGGUCGCUGAGGCAGGAGACACACGGAGGUCUCAGCCCCGCCUCUAAUUUACUCAUCUUCCAACUUUAAUGAGGUUAAUGAAUUGAAUAAUUUGUGCUAAACUGGGAGGAGUGGCAGGAAGAAGGGAUGAUGUUCCUCCAAUUAUUCCCUCCGGUGUUUAAACACAGAGAGGUUCAUUUAAGAAAUGCUUUUCUCCAACUCACACAUUCAUGAUCCCUAUUUAGAACCUUGUUACAACCAAAACGUGCCCUAAUCAUAAUCAUCUGUUCUUUAAUCACAUACUUGGUCAUUUUAGAUGUUUUUACACAUUAUUUUUUUGCAUGAUUGUUUUUAAUCACAUUUAAGACCUCCGGUUUCUUUUGUUAAAUAAUGAAAAAAAUAUUUGUAGAAAACAUGUCAGUUUAUCUCAAAAUAAACUCCUUUACAAUCAGAAAUGAUGAUAAAAAAUCAAACAAUAUGCAUCUUGAGAUUAGAUUCACUUCCAGGUAGUUGCCAAAGAUUCACUCUUUCUUGGUGUUUUUUCUGCUUUGUCUUAUUCACAAUUGAAUAUAAAUGUUUUAAACCCUUUUUUCAGAGUUUUUUUAAAUUUCAUUUUGAGACUCAGCUGUUAUUUUAUUACUGGAAAAAUCAUCAGCCCUAAUAUCCUUUUUACUGCUCUUUGCUGCAUCUCACAUUGAUUUGGGGGCUCGUGAAAUUACAUUUUCACAGUUUGCAGCUUAAAACUCCAGGAAACAGCUGUUAGUUUUUGGAUUUAAAGCCACAUCACUGCAGCAAGAACGGGCAUGAAACUUCUGAUGACCCUCAGAAACCAGAAAAGGCUGGUGCUGUACCACCAGUGGUUGCUAUGUACACUUUCAUGAUGGCUGCACAGAAGACACAACAUCUGGAUCGCCCCCCCAGGCCAUAAGCCACGCCCCCUUCAGGUGAACAGAUGGGAUACAACCCAACUAGUUUAAUGACCUCAUCUUUUUUCCUGGCUGGAGUUGGUCUCCAUGGUAACAGGUGAAACAGGACCAUUCAGACAUUAGUCUCCUUCCUCCUUGGAGAUCAUGAGGUGGUCCCAGGCCAGAUGAGAUAUAUGGCCUCUAAAGUGGGUUCUGGAUCUACUCCAGUGUCCUCAAAUAAUUUCAUGUGUGUGGAAAAACUUCCAAGGAAUGCUUCCAGACCGCAUCCUAACCCAGUCCUAACCUCAGUCGACUCAAAAGGAGCAAUGAUUCUACUCCAGAUGUAGGAAAAAUACAAUGAGCUCCAUGAUGGAUUGAAGAAAUGGUCGAGAUUCUAAGCUAUGACUAAAUUAUUUACUGAGGUAAGAGAUCAAGUGAGAAGCAGGGCUAUCUUCUCAUAGACUUCCAUACAUUCAGACUUCCUCUUGCAGCCAUAAGAGUCGCCCCCUGGUGGCCAGUAGAUAGAAUGCAGGUUUAAGAUGUUUACUUCACUUUUCACCCCCGGAAGCUUCAUCUAUCUUUAAUAUAUUUGCCAGUUAAUGAGCAAAAUUAAUCUUUGGGGGAAAACAGUUCAUAUGUAGCUAGAAAGUCAGACUUUUAACCUGUAAAAUGACGUCCCAGUGGGAGGAAGUGGGGAUUCGUUGUUCAAAUUUUACUGUUCAUUCAAACCUCGUUCAGUUGCUCUCACAUAAAAUUUAAUGAAGAGUGAUUUUAAUGCCGGUAAAGGUAUACGUAGGGAUUAAAGAUUAAACACUCGAUCAGUUUGUCCAAAAAAAAAAAAAGUCAAAAUUGUGAAAACAUGCAUCGUUAUUUUGUAAUUUCUCUUGUCCCAAAACCCAAAAUUUAGAAUUAUUGAAAAAACACUGCAGAGACACACCAGACACGACACGCAGACGAGGUUUAGUGGGAUUUUUUUAUUGUUAUUAGCAAUUAAACAGUAUGAUUUCUACAAACGCAAGAAUUGAUCACCAAUAACAAAAGGGUUGCACAUCUGUGAGACCUUUGUUUGGAUAUUCUUGGAAAUAGACAUAGAAGGGGAUGUUAUAAAUAAAUGUAUCGUACAAUUUGAGGUAUGCAGAGUAGCUUUGAGAAUACAAAUAUGUCCAUGCCUCACUCCCAGUGGUUAACACACAC